rnacentral:misc_RNA from 1 species
GUUUUUCUCAACAGCAUCUAAAAUAUUAUUUUUAUUCAGAAAAAUAAUUUCAGUCUUUAGAACUCAAUGUCAAACAGGCUGUAGUGUACAAAACUACUAAAAUUGGAAGUUCAUGCUUGUAUUUUAAUAACUCUUGUUGGCUAAAUUGUACACCUUCAUGCAAUUUCCACAAGUGAGUAAAUCAUAGGCUCAAAGUUUGUCCACCUAAGUCUUACAAUUGUCUUCUAGACUGAAAUUUCGAGUUCAAAUCUAAUCGAUACCCAGUUAACAGAAAAAAAAAAUAUAAUAAAAUAAAAUGUUCCAAGAACUUAAUCCACCACAUGUAUCGUAUACUAAAUCACCAGCUAAAUCCCAUGUUAAUUAUCUGAUUGAUUUCAGGUGAAGUUAUUUGGGUGGUAUCUUCUUGAUGAUUAGUUGAUAUAAGACGUGGUGAACUAAAUUCACGCAACAACUUCUACUAGGCAAUAGCUGCUAUUUCUAAACUCCUACCAAACACUACAGUUCAAUCAUGGGAGACUUCGAGUACCUCAGUUUUUCAAUGGAUAACCAAAAUUUACCUUCAAAAUCUCGACUAUGCUGGAUAUUGGAACCUGACCUAGCAGAGCUUUGCGUUGAAAACUUUAUUCAAGCUAACUCUGGCUAAUACAGCAGCAUGAGCAAGCAAGAAAAUUUUAUUGGCUAUUGGUGGUUCCUAACAUAUUCUGGGACCCAGGUCCAUCCACCUCAGAAACAAUUAAUGAGGACCUUAAAUUUCCAAAAACAAGAAAAUAGGUCAUCUACCACAACCACACUUGCCACGGUAUUAUUCUUCUGUUUAUAUAUAUGAUUUUCCAUUGACAAGCAUAUGAGAAAAUUCACCCAACAACAAGAAAAUAAAUAUAAUCCAUAUUUGGUUACUGGAGCAAGAUUUCCAUGGAAUAUAACUGAAGAAAAUACGUCUUCAAAUGCUCCCCUUUUCCUUAAGUUUGUGCCCAUUAUGUCAAGCAGCGCUGCUAGUUGUUUUCCCAAUAGUCUUGAGGUCAAAGAUUUCAAUCCAAUAGCCAUCAGGAUCCUUAAUGAAAGCUAUAUCUUUCAUUUUUCCUGCAACCAAAUUAACAUAUUUAAGGCAAGUAACUACAGAACAUACUUAUUUGAAGGAUCAAGAAAAUAGCUUCGCCCCUUUGACCCAAAGAAGACCGUUUUACACAAGCACCCAUGCCACUAAUGUCAUGUUUAGCCACUGAUAAUGACAAAUUUGGCCUUACUGUAAGUGGAAGGAAAAAAGGGAGGAAUUCAUUUAACCAAAAAAAAAAAAAAGGAUAUGGCAACAAGUCACUGUUUAAUGGCUCAAGUAAAAAUCAUGUUUUAUAAUUGAAGUCCCUAAAUUCUUAAAUAGGAUCAUUCCCCUUCUAGAUCCUAAAUAAAAACAGACCUGACUCUGGAUCCAGUUAGUCCAUAGUGCUGAAUUUUCCAAAUCACACUGAUACAGGUGUUUUGGCUUUUCAUUUUCCUUACUCUUUUCCAUUAAACGCACAUGCUGACCUUGGCAUUACCAUACUUUUCACCAUUUAUUUCAAAACAACAACAACUAAGCAUUAAUCCCAAAUUACUUGGAGUCAGCGAUAUGGAUCUUUUUCUGCCAUUCAGCUCUGUUAGACCAUUUAUUUCAAAAAUAAUGAGAAAUUAAUUUUUGAGCAGACAAACAACUUGAAAUUUAGACCUUGAUGGAUGACCUAUGUUUCCAAACUAUCAACACCCAUAAAUAGGUGCCAUGAUUUUUCGACCAAUACCAAUUACAGACCAUUUGGACUAAACACUACAUUGUAUAGAAACUAACAUGUGCAGUUAAAAAAUGGCAUUAUGCUCAUCAAAUUAUACUGGGCUUAAUACAUAAAUUAGCCCAUGAACUAUGUAAGAAAAGUCUAUUGCACCCUUGACCUUUUAUUUUGACCUAUAAGACCCUCAAUCUUCUAUUUUUGACCUAUUGCAACCUUCAAUUUUAUUUUUGUAACCAAUAGACAUAAUUUUCCAAAUUGAAAUAUAUCACUUAAUAAUCUUUUUUUUUUUUACUUUAUAAUGGAUUAUAUUGGAUAAUUUAUUCAAUCAGUUAUUAUUAAUUUGAGCAAAUUUGUAAUAGCUAAACAAUAAAAAUUCAGGGGCACAAUGGGUCAAAAUAAAAGAUCAGGAAUGCAAUAGACUUUUUCCAAAUAGUUUAGGGGCUAAUUUAUGCAUUAGACCAAUUAUAUUGGCCAAGAGGUUUCUCACUAUCAUUAGG